GAUGAACGCUGGCGGCGUGCCUAAUACAUGCAAGUCGAGCGAACAGACGAGGAGCUUGCUCCUCUGACGUUAGCGGCGGACGGGUGAGUAACACGUGGAUAACCUACCUAUAAGACUGGGAUAACUUCGGGAAACCGGAGCUAAUACCGGAUAAUAUAUUGAACCGCAUGGUUCAAUAGUGAAAGACGGUUUUGCUGUCACUUAUAGAUGGAUCCGCGCCGCAUUAGCUAGUUGGUAAGGUAACGGCUUACCAAGGCGACGAUGCGUAGCCGACCUGAGAGGGUGAUCGGCCACACUGGAACUGAGACACGGUCCAGACUCCUACGGGAGGCAGCAGUAGGGAAUCUUCCGCAAUGGGCGAAAGCCUGACGGAGCAACGCCGCGUGAGUGAUGAAGGUCUCCGGAUCGUAAAACUCUGUUAUUAGGGAAGAACAAAUGUGUAAGUAACUAUGCACGUCUUGAUGGUACCUAAUCAGAAAGCCACGGCUAACUACGUG
rnacentral:rRNA from 1 species